rnacentral:lncRNA from 1 species
AAACCAGAGGAACUCGUAACUAUCCAGAUGUCUUGAGUAAUUCGCCGAGUAGCUCAGGAAUUAGCACAAGCGGAAAUGAGAACAAACCAUGCAAGUGCCCAUCACUUCAGGAGCAAGAAAAGAUCCCGAAACAGAGCACUGGUGCAAUACCAAAAUCCAGACUCCACAGACAUCCUAAUCAAGUCCUUAAGAAACAUGCUUCCACAUCGACUUCAUCAUCCCUUUUAAGUCACGAUCCGAAACAGUCUAUGGAAGUUCGCCGUCGAACGAAACCAAGGAAAGCAUCAAGUAGACCUGCAGUGGAAAGUCUCUUGAAAGCAAGUGGCGAUGAAGAGUUCACAAACAAAUACCGCCACCCAACCCAACAAAACCGUGACGCAAGUGAUUUGGCUGAAAUCCAGUCUCAGAUUGAUCAAGUCGCAAAUGAAGCCUCCUCCUCUGGCUCCAACAAUGAAUUGAGCUCCCUUCUUCCAAAACCUCCCCUUUGGCCUUUAUCACCCUCUUUUUUGAAGUCCUCAACCUCUUCCACCUCUUGCUCUCAUGUAAUCGGAGGGUCCUCCAGUUCCAAUGACUUCAAGCGGUCGGAGCGACUGUUAAAACGUGCCUCUAAAACAUACAGAUCAAGAAGGACAAGAAACAUGGGUGAUCCGAUUGGACCAUCAAUGGCUCCAUCCCCCUCUGCAGGAGCUGGAGCCUUAUCGGGGAUGCAAGCUCAUAGUGCCGCCUCAAUGCAGCUCGCCGAACUCGUUGGUGGCACACAUCUUGCAUCAUCGCACGACGACACAGCAGAUGGUGCCGUUCAUGUUUUCCGAGACGAAAAUGGACAGUGGAUGACCUACACGUUCGAUGAAAAGGGCACCGGCACAGACAAUUUCAUUCCUCCGGGCCCUAACAAAUUUUUGCAAUCGCUUUUGGCGCAACAGACCCACCCAGAGAAUCGCCAAGUCACCAAAUCGCCACCAGUGGCAGAUGCAUUUAAUGAGAUAUCAGCUGUCGCAGAUGCCGGAGUUCAAGUUCCGUAUUUAUCUCGAAUGUCGCUGUCAAGCGAUUGUUCCAGCUGCACUUCUCCUGUUCAUUUGUUACCAACAGUGCCUGCAAACUCUGCUGCCUCUAAGUCACUUCUGCAACAUCUUCGUUUAAAUUCUAGUGGUGUUUACGUAGUUGAAUCCAUACAUCCUUUAAUAGCUCCUCCCGAAGCAGGGGUAUCUUUGUUAGGCUCGGUCUCGGAGCGAAUGCAAGAGAACGCCUCUCCACCAGCUAGGUAUCGAACAGUUUCGAGAUCAGUUCCUCACAAGUCCGUACAUAUGCCAGCGUGAGGCAGGAGAUCGUGAAAUUGUCCGAAGUACCAAGUAUGAAUUCAUGAGUUCGAUUGACUCUCCGAAGAACGGGAAAAAAACUCAAAAAUAUUACAAUUACCAUUUAUUCCCAUGUGCUCCGAUUAAAAUAAAAUUUGAUCGGUUAGCUCUUCUGGCUGUCCUAGACCGGAAUUUAAGUUGUUUUGAAACUUUCUUAACCUUGUUUUUAGCCAUAGUUGUUGCUUUUUUAGGUUCUUUAUUAUUAUUUUUAAAUUUCUAUCAAGAUCUUCAAGCUUUCAUGUUCUGCUUGGUGAUCGCCAGCUGUCAAUACUCUUUGCUUAAAAGUGUCCAGCCAGACGCGUCGUCGCCCACGCAUGGUUUCAACAGGAUAGUUGCAUUCAGCCGACCUGUGUACUUUAUAUUAUGCAGUGCCUUAGUCUUAAUAUUGCACUUGGUUCUAGUCACUAAACAAAGUUGGACCCCUUUUCAAAUAUAUGGACUGCUUUGUUAUCCUAGGGAAUCAGUCACAUUCAUGCGUGAUACGCUAGUCUCCUUUUUACUUUACUUUCCUCUUGUUUUUAGUUUUGGUCUGUUUCCGCAAGUCAAUACGUUUUCCAUGUAUUUGUUAGAACAAAUAGAAAUGCAUUGUUUGGUGGCAAUGCAACUGCUUCAGCAUCUGCUGCUCUUUACUGCGUUCUUCGCAGUUGUUUGGCUGUUUUAAUGCUUUACGGUUUUGCAUUUGGGGGUCUAAAUGAGCCCAAACAAUCACAACAUAUUUUGUUCUCAAUAUUUUGCGGCCUCCUCAUAGCAACAUCUUAUCAUCUAAGUCGAAGUGCGAGUGAUCCGACACCAAUAUGGAACAUACUCAAAAUGCAUUUAUGGCCUGAUGAUGAUAUUGAAUCCAUUCCAACUCCAUCAAGUGUGAAAAGGAGUAAAUCAAGGAACAAGUUGAAGCACCAAGGUUCAGAGAAAUCAGCUAGUCAAUCAAAAAUUAGUGAAGCCAAAGCAAUUCUUUAAACAGCUCUAAGAGUGCUGGAUCCGACAGAAACAAUCUCCAAAUUGCUCUCAGACAACUGUUCAAGGUAAGUCUAAGUAACAUUCAGUAGUUAACUCCUAACUAUGUUUUUAUUUAAUGUGUGAAAGUUAGGAGAAGCGCUUAAAAUAUCGUGAAACUUCAAUAUUAGAAAAACUUCUAAAAUGUUCAAAAAAAACUAUCGAGGCCCAAAUUUUUUCGAGAGGUUUGGGGUAGACCCCUUGUUGAGGCAAGAAUGUUGUAAAUAAGUAAAUAACUUAUCUAAAUUUAAAAUUCAGCUUUCAUUAUGGAUGAUUUUUUUCAUUUUUAAAUGCUAAUUUGGAAAUUAAAAAUUUAUACUUUAGUUUUUAUCUUAACAUACC